CUCGUCAUAUGUUUUGGGGGUUAAAGACUUGUUCCACAAUCAGCAUGUGGCUACAUUUUCUACAUUUACAUGAUAAUGUUUAAGGCGUUUUUUGAUUGGAUGCAGCCAGUUACAACUGCAACCAAUAAAAAUUGUUGCCUGCACUGGGAUCUAAAAUUCUCUCUUUAUCCGCCAAGGAUGGAGAUGAGGGGAGUGGAUCAUUACCCUUGACUAGCAAAGAUGAAUAUCUAGAAGUGCUAUUAAAUUCAUGAAUCAGACAUUUUGUCAGAUGUGGUUUGCUAAGUUUAGUCAUAAAUUGUAUAACUCAUAACAAUACAAACAGGUACUCAAUAAGUGGUUCACUGUUUAUCCCCAUGUAAACUCAAAUAACUUGAUGAUAUACAGAAUCUCCAUAGCAAACUUGG
rnacentral:lncRNA from 1 species